UAAGGAGUGUGAGUCAUCUCCAAUGAUUGA
rnacentral:piRNA from 1 species